CAGCCGCCGCGGUAAUUCGUAGGGUGCGAGCGUUAAUCGGAAUUACUGGGCGUAAAGCGUGCGCAGGCGGUUCCAUAAGACAGAUGUGAAAUCCCCGGGCUUAACCUGGGAACUGCGUUUGUGACUGUGGGACUCGAGUGUGGCAGAGGGGGGUGGAAUUCCACGUGUAGCAGUGAAAUGCGUAGAGAUGUGGAGGAACACCGAUGGCGAAGGCAGCCCCCUGGGUCAACACUGACGCUCAUGCACGAAAGCGUGGGGAGCAAACAGGAUUAGAUACCCUGGUAGUCCACGCCCUAAACGAUGCGAACUAGGUGUUGGGGAAGGAGACUUUCUUAGUACCGCAGCUAACGCGUGAAGUUCGCCGCCUGGGGAGUACGGUCGCAAGAUUAAAACUCAAAGGAAUUGACGG
rnacentral:rRNA from 1 species